UGAGCAAUCUGCCCUUCUCAUCGGAAUAAGCGUUGGAAACGACGUCUAAUGCCGAAUACGACCUCCUUUCGCAUGAUCGGAGGUGGAAAGCUCCGGCGGAGAAGGAUGAGCUCGCGGCCUAUCAGCUAGUUGGUGUGGGUAAUGGCCCACCAAGGCGACGACGGGUAGCCGGCCUGAGAGGGUGAUCGGCCACAUUGGGACUGAGACACGGCCCAGACUCCUAGGAG
rnacentral:rRNA from 1 species